rnacentral:rRNA from 1 species
AUUCCAGCUCCAAUAGCGUAUAUUAAAGUUGUUGCAGUUAAAAAGCUCGUAGUUGGACCUUGGGCCUGGACGGGCGGUCCGCCUCACGGCGUGUACUGUCUUGCCGGGCCUUUCCUCUUGGUGAUCUGUUGUUUCGGCAGCAGGGAACCAGGACCUUUACUUUGAAAAAAUUAGAGUGUUCAAAGCAGGCUCGACGCCGGAAUAUAUUAGCAUGGAAUAAUAAAAUAGGACGUGCGGUUCUAUUUUGUUGGUUUUUGGAAUCGCCGUAAUGAUUAAUAGGGACAGUCGGGGGCAUUAGUACUCACAUGCUAGAGGUGAAAUUCUUGGAUUUUGUGAAGACUAACUUCUGCGAAAGCAUUUGCCAAGGAUGUUUUCAUCA